rnacentral:SRP_RNA from 1 species
GCUGGGUGUGGUGACGCGUGCCUGUAAUCCCAGCUACUCAGGAGGCUGAGGCAGGAGAAUCGCUCGAACCCAGGAGGCAGAGGUUGCAGUGAGCCAAGAUCACGCCAUUGCACUCCAGCCUGGGUGACAGAGCAAGACUCUGUCUCCA